GUUUCGGGGAAAGGAUAUGCCCCCGUGGCAGCCUUUGGAUUGCCAUCCCUACCCAAGCAGGCUGCUUCGACUGUCAAGGUCCACUUCCCAUCGACCUUCCAACACAGAACCAGGGACGCUUCUGGUUUGAGAAUUUGAUUGUUCCUGAACCCCGAACGGGACCACCGAUGUCUCCCUUAACCUUUUAACCUUCUGCACACAUCUGAACUGCUGGCGUGAUCUGAACCCUGACAUAGGGAAGACUACCAGGGAAGCGCCCCGGCCUGGCUCCUGUCCUGACUCGAGGCUCGAACCCAGACCGAAGCAGGCUGGCGGCGGCCGUUGCCGGACCACUUUGAGUCUCCUGCUUGCUCAGAGUCCCGUAGCCUCAGUUUCCCCACCUACUAAAGGAGGAAGAAGAGGCUACCUCCAGGCCAGUUUGAGAGUUCCAUCUAUCAAAAGGCCCACGCACACAGUGGCCUAAUUGAGUCAGGCUGUCUGAUGUCGGAAGAAAAAGCGGGUGCUGCAGGCAUCUCCCUGCCUUCAGGACCACACUAGUCUGAGGGGCCUUCUCUCCUUGAGACUUCGGAGCAUUCGGAGGCAGACAACCAUACCAGGCCUGAGGAUACCAAGAAGUCUCCACAUGGGUUCAAGGUUUAAAAAGGAGCUACUAGCCGGUGGUGGCGGUGGCGCACCCUUUUAAUCCCAGCAUUUGAGAGGCAGAUGCAGGAGGAUAUCUGUGGGUUCGAGACCAGCCUGGUCUACAGAGAGAGUUUGAGGACAAGCCAGGACUGCACAGAAAACCGUUGCCAAAAAGAAGAGAAAAAAAAUCAACCAGUUGUGGGGUGUAUACCGUUAGUCCCAACACUCAGGGGGUGGCUUUCUGCAUGUCUGAAGCCAGACUGGUCUACACAGCAGUUCCAGGCCAACCAAGAUACAGAAUGAGACCCCGGCUGGCUCAAAAGGGCAGCGGAGGGGUGGGGAGUGCUGGAGAGGUGGCUCAGCAGUCGGACCUGGGCUCAAUUCCCAGCUCCAGGGUUGCUUACAAUGGUCAGAAAUUCCAAUGCCAGAGAAUCAGAUGCUCUCUUAGACAUGCAUGCAAGCAAAACACCCGUGAUUACAAAUAAACGUUUUCAAAGAGAAAUUUAAU